UACAGAGGUCCCAAGCGUUGUUCGGAUUCACUGGGCGUAAAGGGUGCGUAGGUGGUUGGGUAAGUUUGGCGUGAAAUCUCCGAGCUCAACUCGGAAACUGCGCUGAAUACUAUCCGGCUUGAGGAAUGGAGGGGAGACUGGAAUACUUGGUGUAGCAGUGAAAUGCGUAGAUAUCAAGUGGAACACCAGUGGCGAAGGCGAGUCUCUGGACAUUUCCUGACACUGAGGCACGAAAGCCAGGGGAGCAAACGGG
rnacentral:rRNA from 1 species